rnacentral:rRNA from 1 species
GACGAACGCUGGCGGCGUGCCUAAUACAUGCAAGUUGAGCGCUGAAGGUUGGUACUUGUACCAACUGGAUGAGCAGCGAACGGGUGAGUAACGCGUGGGGAAUCUGCCUUUGAGCGGGGGACAACAUUUGGAAACGAAUGCUAAUACCGCAUAAAAACUUUAAACACAAGUUUUAAGUUUGAAAGAUGCAAUUGCAUCACUCAAAGAUGAUCCCGCGUUGUAUUAGCUAGUUGGUGAGUUAAAGGCUCACCAAGGCGAUGAUACAUAGCCGACCUGAGAGGGUGAUCGGCCACAUUGGGACUGAGACACGGCCCAAACUCCUACGGGAGGCAGCAGUAGGGAAUCUUCGGCAAUGGACGAAAGUCUGACCGAGCAACGCCGCGGGAGGGAAGAAGGGUGUCGGAUCGUAAAACUCUGUUGGUAGAGAAGAACGUUGGUGAGAGUGGAAAGCUCAUCAAGUGACGGUAACUACCCAGAAAGGGACGGCUAACUACGUG